rnacentral:rRNA from 1 species
GGUUGCGAUCAUACCAGCUCUAAUGCACCGGAUCCCAUCAGAACUCCGCAGUUAAGCGUGCUUGGGCGAGAGUAGUACUAGGAUGGGUGACCCCCUGGGAAGUCCUCGUGUUGCAACCC